AAGAUCUAUAAGAUCUUUGCUAAAGAGUAAGGUCUCACAAAGCAUGAUGAGGAGUUGCAGCGUUCCCUCCUGAGCGUGAAGCGGUUCUCUGGCUUUGUUUUACACAAGGGCCAAUGGAUAUUGAUGACCGUUCCUGGUCUAACCCCAUUGUGGGGGCUGUGGUGGGAGGAAACGCAGUCUGAGUGCU